rnacentral:rRNA from 1 species
AACGAACGCUGGCGGCAGGCCUAACACAUGCAAGUCGAGCGCGCCCUUCGGGGUGAGCGGCUGACGGGUGAGUAACGCGUGGGAACGUGCCCUUUUCUACGGAAUAGCCUCGUGAAACUGAGAGUAAUACCGGAUACGCCCCUUGGGGGAAAGAUUUAUCGGAAAAGGAUCGGCCCGCGUUGGAUUAGGUAGUUGGUGGGGUAAUGGCCUACCAAGCCGACGAUCCAUAGCUGGUUUGAGAGGAUGAUCAGCCACACUGGGACUGAGACACGGCCCAGACUCCUACGGGAGGCAGCAGUGGGGAAUCUUAGACAAUGGGGGCAAUCCUGAUCUAGCCCUGCCGCGUGAGUGAUGAAGGCCUUAGGGUUGUAAAGCUCUUUCAGCUGGGAAGAUAAUGACGGUACCAGCAGAAGAAGCCCCGGCUAACUCCGUG